rnacentral:lncRNA from 1 species
AAGCCAAAAAAAUUCAUGAAUGCCAUAUACUCUAUAGCUCCAGUCUGGGGAGGGGAAGACCUGUGCCACAUCAGCCUGGCUGGACUAUCCCCUGGGACUCGUGGGAUUGUCUCCUACCAUAGAUCUCAAAUAGCACAUGGGCAGUCAUGCCUUAGUCAGAAGAACCAACUUAAGACUGACACUUUUCCAUCAUCUCCCUUUGGUGUACUCUCAUGUGACAUGUGGCAGGAAGAACUGAGAUAUUCUGUCACUGCUCUCAGUGCUAGAAGAUCUCAGAGACAAAAAAAUUGGUGA